rnacentral:tRNA from 1 species
CGGGCUGUAGUAUACCGGUAGUACGCGCCUUUCGGGUGGGUGUAGACUGGGUUCGAUUCCCAGCAGCCCGACAA